rnacentral:sRNA from 1 species
AACUAGCGCGUGAUCUGCCACUUCCCCAAU